UUUCUCUGUAGCCUAUUCAGCACAUGUAUUUCUACAUGCACAUAUAGAAUCCUAUGUGUUAUCCCACAUACAUUUUUGUGAGGUGGCUGAGUUGGCAGAUACAAAUUGUCAGAAGAGAUCACUCCUCCUAAACGCUGUUGGAACUGAAACUUCAACCUAUGGGCUAUUCAGCACAUGUAUUUUUACAUGCACAUAUAGAAUCCUACCUGGUAUCCCACGUACAUUCUUGUGAGGUGGCUGACUUUGCAGAUGCAAAUUGUGAGAAGAGAUCACUCCUCCUAAACGCUUUUGGAAGUGAAAAUUCAACCAAUGGGUGGUCUUUCUACUUGAACAACAUGAUACAUAAAUCCAUGUUCAGUGAAAUAAAUAUAUUUGUAUCUGUGGAUGAUA